GGCCCUGGAGCGUGUCCAGAGGAGAGCAACAAAGCUGGUGAGGGGUCUGGAGCACAGGCCUUAUGAAGAGCGGCUGAAGGAGCUGGGAUUGUUCAGUCUAGAGAAGAGGAGGCUCAGGGGAGACUUUAUUGCUUUCUAUAACUACCUGAAGGGAGGUUGUAGUGAGCUGGGGGUCAGCCUCUUCUCUCAGGUGACUAGUGAUAGAACUAGAGGGAAUGGCUUCAAGCUGCGCCAGGGAAGAUUCAGGCUGGAUGUUAGGAAAUACUACUUCUCUGAAAGGGUGGUCAGGCACUGGAAUGGGCUGCCCAGAGAGGUGGUGGAGUCACUGACCCUGGUGGUGUUCAAAGAGUGUUUGAAUGUUGUGCUAAGGGACAUGGUUUAGUGAGAACCAUUGGUGAUGGGUGAAUGGUUGGACUGGAUGAUCCUGUGGGUCUUUUCCAACCUUAGUGAUUCUAUGGUAACACAAGCCUCUUUACAAACUCUCCAUGAGGCUUUGUUCCUUUUAUAUUUCACAACAAUAACAUUCAUUUUGGAUGGUACCACAGAAAGCAACUGUCUGCCCCACCCUGGACCACAUAGUGCAGUGGUUCACAUGAAGACUUCAGACUCCCAUCAGUACUACCUCAGCUGAUCCAUCUCACCUCUUCCAACAAUUUGUGCAUCUGUGCAGCUCUGAACAGAUGCUGUCUGCUGGCAAAUCAAUGUGCUUCCUCUUUCUCCAGUAGAAAGCAUUUCUUCAGCCUCCACUGCCUCUGUCCUAGCACAGCUAAUAUUCCUUUGGUUAAGGGCCAGUCAUUCUGGGGGAAGAUUUCAGUUUGAGGUGGGUGCUGGAAUAGAUGUUAGUAUGCUGGAAUAGAUGUUUAGUAUGCAUAGACUCAUCAACUCUCACAAUUAUCACUGACAUUGACCUCCUGCAUAUUUUCUGGAGGAUCUACUUACUGAUUUUUUUUUUUUAAGCUCUGAGUAUUUUUCCUGAAAUACUGCUUACAAGGCUUGUAGAGAACUGUGAAGCAUUUCCGAGGACUAUGCUACAAAUAACACUGUCAUUCAGAAAGACUUUAUAGGCAUUG
rnacentral:lncRNA from 1 species